rnacentral:piRNA from 1 species
AAAUGUAGUAGUCGCUUGUCAAAAUCGC